rnacentral:rRNA from 1 species
ACGUUACCAAACUGUUGCCUCGGCGGGAUCUCUGCCCCGGGUGCGUCGCAGCCCCGGACCAAGGCGCCCGCCGGAGGACCAACCCUAAAACUCUUAUUGUAUACCCCCUCGCGGGUUUUUUUAUAAUCUGAGCCUUUCUCGGCGCCUCUCGUAGGCGUUUCGAAAAUGAAUCAAAACUUUCAACAACGGAUCUCUUGGUUCUGGCAUCGAUGAAGAACGCAGCGAAAUGCGAUAAGUAAUGUGAAUUGCAGAAUUCAGUGAAUCAUCGAAUCUUUGAACGCACAUUGCGCCCGCCAGUAUUCUGGCGGGCAUGCCUGUCCGAGCGUCAUUUCAACCCUCGAACCCCUCCGGGGGGUCGGCGUUGGGGAUCGGCCCUCCCUUAGCGGGUGGCCGUCUCCGAAAUACAGUGGCGGUCUCGCCGCAGCCUCUCCUGCGCAGUAGUUUGCACACUCGCAUCGGGAGCGCGGCGCGUCCACAGCCGUU